rnacentral:rRNA from 1 species
CCUACGGGAGGCAGCAGUGGGGAAUCUUCCGCAAUGGGCGAAAGCCUGACGGAGCAACGCCGCGUGAGUGAUGACGGCCUUCGGGUUGUAAAACUCUGUGAUCCGGGACGAAAAGGCAGAGUGCGAAGAACAAACUGCAUUGACGGUACCGGAAAAGCAAGCCACGGCUAACUACGUGCC